ACUGAGAUGGCAGAUUAAGUGCUAUAGCUUUAAGAGUUGUAUAUGAAUUAUUAUUCUUUUAGUA
rnacentral:tRNA from 1 species